rnacentral:rRNA from 1 species
ACGGGUGAGUAAUACAUCGGAACGUAUCCUGGAGUGGGGGAUAGCCCGGCGAAAGCCGGAUUAAUACCGCAUACGCUCUGAGGAGGAAAGCGGGGGACCUUCGGGCCUCGCGCUCAAGGGGCGGCCGAUGGCGGAUUAGGUAGUUGGUGGGGUAAAGGCCUACCAAGCCGACGAUCCGUAGCUGGUCUGAGAGGACGACCAGCCACACUGGGACUGAGACACGGCCCAGACUCCUACGGGAGGCAGCAGUGGGGAAUUUUGGACAAUGGGGGCAACCCUGAUCCAGUAAUGCCGCGUGUGUGAAGAAGGCCUUCGGGUUGUAAAGCACUUUUGUCCGGAAAGAAAUCAUCGGGGCCAAUACCCCUGGUGGAUGACGGUACCGGAAGAAUAAGCACCGGCUAACUACGUGCCAGCAGCCGCGGUAAUACGUAGGGUGCGAGCGUUAAUCGGAAUUACUGGGCGUAAAGCGUGCGCAGGCGGUGCUGUAAGACCGAUGUGAAAUCCCCGGGCUUAACCUGGGAACUGCAUUGGUGACUGCAGCGCUGGAGUAUGGCAGAGGGGGGUGGAAUUCCACGU